AAUAGAUAGCAAGCUAUCUGCAUCAUUCAUUAAGCGAAAUGAAUUAAGCGUACAUGAUGGAGACAGCUAGGGCCUUCUAAAAGAGCCGAAAAAAUACAAGAAAAAAAAACCAAAAAUAAACUACCCUACACCUACCGUUGAAACAAAGUAAACAAGAAAAGCGAGCUAGAUAACAAAAAGGAUGAAACAGGGGACGAAAAGGAAGGAACAGGCAAGGGUCAAAGAACUUCGUUCCAGGCUUUGGU
rnacentral:lncRNA from 1 species